rnacentral:misc_RNA from 1 species
CUCACGCCCCUCUAGGUGUGGUGUUGGGGAUCGGCCGUCCUUCCGGGUGGCCGGCCCUGAAAUACAGUGGCGGUCUCGCCGUAGCCUCUUCUGCGCAGUAGUUACUUCUCGCAGCUGGAGAGCGGCCUGGCCACGCCGUAAAACCCCCAUAUUUUACCAAGGUUGACCUCGGAUCAGGUAGGGAUACCCGCUGAACUUAA